AGCGCCGCGUAGGCGGGCCGACGGUCGACUCCGGCGGUGCCAGGGGCCAAGCAAUCAGCCCUGGCCCCGGAAAGCUGCGG
rfam:Mycobacterium kyorinense strain E861 contig_169, whole genome shotgun sequence.